UCGUCAUCUCGCACUCAGGGAAGGGAAAAUAGGAAAACUGUCGGGGAGGAAGAGCAGUGAGCAAGCCGAAGAACAUACCUAUUAUCUAUUCUAGGUUGGUCCUAAAAGGGUACACAGUCAAUGGCGGCUUAGCUAUUCACUUUCAGCGUUAGUUUACCCAUGUUUAUGUAAUCUAGGUAAAGCUAUUUGGUGAAUAGUGGAGAUUCGACUUUGCUACUCGGUCGUGCAGUGGGGCAAGAACGCCCAGAAUUGGAAUUGCAACUGCAACGACUUGCUACCGCAGCAGUUGGAAAUUUGAGUCUGUUUCGAUAGGCCUGGAUCCCUGUUCAAACAACGUCUGGGGACUUGCAUGAAAACAACAAAAGAACCACCCGAAAUUGUGUGAAUGGAGCAGUGUGAGAGUGCAGCCUCUCUCCUGGCCUCCGUGCGGGAGCAGGAGCAUCAGUUUGAGCGUCUGACUCGCGCUCUGGAGGAAGAGAGGAGGUGCGGAGGUACCCUCCCACGCCCUCCCCCCAAUCUACAGAAUGGGCGUGUUUGUGAUGCGGACAUAGAGAGGCUCACACUGAACGAGGGAUACGUCAACGGGACACAUUACAGGAUGGAGCCUGGUCAAGUCGUCCAGGAGACGGUUACCGUGGAGGAGGACCCUCACGAGGUGCCCCCCGUCAUCUCCGUGGAAACCAGCGAAGAUGGCACCACGCGCCGCACAGAAACUACGGUAAAGAAGGUAGUGAAGACUACCAUGACUCGUACAGUCAUCCCCUCUGUGUCUGACAACCUCUCCCUGGAUGGAGGGGGGUCUAUGACAGGUGUAGGGGGUUACACCACCCCCAUGGAGCGGGUCUACAGACAGCCUGGUCCUCCCAUGGACUACCCCACCAACACCGUGCCCCGAAACUACCACUCACGGACCCCCGGGGGGGUACGAGGACUACCGCCAGGGCUCUCCCUCCAUAGGGGAGACCUACGCCAGCCUGAGCAGGGGAGCACGCAUGGACGACCGCUACAGGCCAGCUGAUGUGUACCGGACCCUGGACUCAGGAUACAGAGCCAUCAGCAGGAACCAGCUGGACCCAUACGCAGCACAGCCACAGGUGGGUCGUAUGGGCAGUGCGUUGGAGCUGUCUGGGAUGCAGAGGUUUGUCCCGGAGCCGUACGGUCUGGAGGAUGACCAGAGGAGUGUGGGAUAUGACGAGGCAGACUAUGGCAUGGGACCGGCCAUCCACUACGGAACAGUACCACGCAACCAACAAGCCUUCAACCAUGGACCGCCCCGCAGGACAGGGAGCUAUGAAGGGACUCUGGAUGGAGACAUGAGUGGAGCAGGGGACAUGUACUACUGGGGAGGUGCACCCCUGGCCCAGGGAGAGAGGGGUAGCAUGGCCUCAUUGGACAGCACCCUGAGGAAAGGCCCUGCCACUUCCUGGAGACAGCCUGAGCUGCCAGAGGUCAUCGCCAUGCUCAACUACAGACUGGACCCCGUCAAGAGCAACGCUGCUGCAUACCUGCAGCACCUCACCUUUAAGAACGACAAGGUGAAGACAGAUGUCCGUCGUAUGAAAGGUAUCCCAUCCCUGGUGUCCAUGUUAGACAACCCUAAGAAGGAGGUCCACCACGCCGCCUGCGGAGCGCUCAAAAACAUCUCUUACGGACGAGACCCUGACAAUAAGAUCGCCAUCAAGAACUGUGAUGGAGUACCGGCCCUGGUCCGACUGCUGAGGAAGACCAGAGACCAGGACCUGACCGAUACUAUCACAGGCACGCUGUGGAACUUGUCAUCUCACGACUCAGUGAAGAUGGAGAUCGUUGACCACGCCCUGCACGCCCUCUCAGACGAGGUGAUGGUAGCUCACUCGGGCUGGGAGAGAGCGAACGAGGCAGGAGGAGAGGAGAACCUCAAACCACGACACCUGGAGUGGGAGACGUCCCCUCACCAACACCGCUGGCUGCCUGAGGAACGUGAGCUCAGAGCGCAGUGAGGCCAGGAGGAAGCUGAGAGAGUGCACAGGAUUGGUCGACUCGCUCAUGUACAUUGUCCAAUCACAGAUCAACCUGAAAGACGUGGACAACAAGCUGAUAGAGAACAGUAUGUGUCUGCUGAGGAAUCUGUCCUAUCAGGUUCACCGGGAGGUGCCGGGCGCUGAGCGCUACCAGGAAGCCAUGUCCCUCAACCAGGGCCCCGCCCCCUCCACUGGAAAGACCAACCGCUUCAGCUCCCGCAGGGGCAAAGGGAGAAAUGAGGACGGAGCAGAUAUGAUUGACAUUCCAAAGAGGACUACACCUGCCAAAGGUUAUGAGUUGUUGUUCCAGCCGGAGGUGGUGCGUGUCUACACCUCUCUGCUGAAGGAGAGUAAGAACCCCACCGUGCUGGAAGCCUCCGCCGGAGCUGUGCAGAACCUGUGUGCCGGACGCUGGACCUAUGGGCGGUAUAUCCGUGCAUUGUUGCGUCAGGAGAAGGGUCUUCCCAUGAUGACAGAGCUGUUGGCCCAUGGUAACGACCGGGUGGUCAGGGCCAUGUCUGGAGCUCUGAGGAACCUGGCUAUCGACGCUCGCAACAGAGACCUGCUCGGUAAACAUGCAGUUCCACACCUGGUAUCCAACCUGCCUGGUGGGGGUCAGAGCCAGCCUGUGAGGGCUCUGUCAGAGGAGACGGUGGUGUCUGUACUGAGCACCCUUCAUGAGGUUCUGGGCUCCAGCCUGGACGCUGCCAAGAUCCUCAGAGCCUCGCAGGGCAUCGAGAGACUGGUGCUCAUCAAUAAGGACGGGAACCGGUCAGAGCGAGAGGUGCGUGGUGCAGGGCUGAUACUCCAGUUAGUUUGGGGCUAUAAGGAGUUGAGGAAGACCCUGGAGAAGGAUGGCUGGAAGAAGACUGACUUCAUGGUGAACCUCAACCCUCCCAACAGCACCCAGCCCCGGGUCAACGGAGGAUAUGAAGACAGUACGCUGCCGCUCAUAGACAGGGGAGGAGACAAGAGAGACAUGAUUCCACUAAAUGAUAUGGGACCAGAUGCCUACUCCACACUGGACCAGAGGGGGAGGAAGAACACUCUGGAUGGAACACUCGAGCCUGCUGACAAAGACACAGCACAGGGAGGGCUGUAUGAGGAGAGGCGGGACUCUGUUCCUCUCAUGGACUCUUAUGACGAGAAACUGAUAGUGUGCAUCACUAGAAGAGAGCAGCCUCUACCGGCCUACUGCCCCUGCUGAACCUCUGGACACUCACUGAGGGACCACUGACUCCACUAGGACUGGACUCGCUCUCCUUCUGUCUCUCUCUUUUCUUUCUCUUUUUCCUCUCUCUAUCUUUCGAUUUCUUAAUCUUCUUUCCCUCUUAUCUCUCGGGUUCUGUGACAUAAGCCACUUGCAUGACCUUCAGCCUUCCUCACCUCACUAUCUCUCCCUCCCUAGCUCUCCCUCAUUCCUCUAUUCAGACAGACUUUUAGCCACUAAAGGAACACUAUGGACUCCUGACAUCCCUCUUCUACCUGUCCACACUACUAUGACUGACAUCCUCCUGACAUCCCUCUUCUACCUGUCCACACUACUAUGACAUAAACCACUUCUAAUUUACUAACUCCUCCCACCACAAUAGGGACAGUUGUGACUUCAUCUGGGAACUGGGAACGUUCACCACCACAGUAGCAAAGCUAAUCAAAAGGGAACUGUUGGAAUGGGAUUCAAACUGUAACUGAACUUAAACUGACAAACCCCCUUUUUUACUGGAAUGGUUAAAACUGCAUUUCUAGAAGUGAUUGUGAAGAUUUCCGGUCAAUGUUUUUUUUUUUUCUUGUGAUAACUAAUUACCACUUAACUUCUGUUUCCCAACAAAGAAUCAAUGUUUGUUGAUCUACUGCCGGUGUUGCUUUGGUCUUUGUUUGAAGUGUGAUUGCUGAGUUGUGGUUCUGACUACACUGAUGAACAGGUGCCAAACUACACACCACUAUUGCAGUAACUUUCUACUACAGAGUCUUUCUGAACACUACUUCUCUUCUCAGAGCCAUCUGUUGUGAUGUUAUAGUGUAUAUGACAUCAUUGGGUGAUGUCAGACAGGCACUGGUGUGCCAUUGGGCAGUGUUGUGGCAAAGGAUUGUGGGAAAGUAAGUAGGUUGACGACCACUUUAACAUUUUACACAUGGGUCUUGCGUCACAGAACAUUGUUGAUAGUCUGUUCUGCAGAGUAUAUUUCUAUGAUUUUCAGCCGUGUAUAAUAGACCAGUGAACCGUUUUGGCUCUAUUCAAUACAUUUCUAUCUGUGUGGCUCUUUAGCGUCAUUGUUAUACCCCCUUUCUCAACUCCCUCUGGUUCUAAUGGUUCUCCUGAAGCUAUGGGAGAAACCACAGAUUUGAUUGUUGAUCCAGUGACUGCAUUUCUUUCAAUCUGCAAAUCUCUAUAUAUAUAUGAAUGUGUAAAUAUGUGAUCGCCUUCAACUACGUCUGUGUGGCUUAUGGCUAACUGGAGUGCCUCGUUCGUUGAUUGGUGUUUUUAAGGUGGGAUGGGGGUUUGCCCUGGGGAUAUCAUUCACUAGCAGCAACAUUCCAGAACAUUGCAUCCAAAUGGAAUGUUUAGAACAGUUUUAUUUUUUUGUGUUCCGCAUAAUAACACAAUGGAAUGUAUAGAGUUGAUAUGAUUGAUGCUCUGCAUAUGGAACAGAGAGAACCAUUCUAGUGCCAUACAUUCCUCAUCAGACUGGCGUGUUCCAGCCUACUGAACCUACGCCUGGGUGUCCAUCUACCCUGCUGGCCUGGCUGGUGUCCAUGGAGACCACAGAACACUAAGAGGGGAGAGGACACAUUUACCUGGUUGUUUUCCCCCAGACAGAGUUCCUUUAGUACCGUAGACAGCAUUAUUAUUCUCAGUGCAGAGUAAGAUGUAGAUAUUUUCUGAGUAGAUUAAAGCACUAGGGGUAAAAGCGGUUCUUGGUUCCUUUGAUUAUUUUCAUGCCAAUCCAACACUACAAAUGGUCAGUCUCAGAAAAAUGUAAAUAGUUGUCUUGUAACCAGAUAUAGACCUAGAACUGAUACAGGAAAUUAUGUGGGAGUGGAAUCCAAUGGGAAUGUGGGACUAAAGAGGGGCGGAGCAUAAAAUUAAAUUAGCAAGAUUUGAAUGAGUGCAAAGACCAGAUUGAUUCUAGUUGCUAUUUUAAAAAAUAAUUGAAAAAAAAAGCAAAUGUAACUAUAUACAAGAUAAAUAUUUGUUAAUUGUAAUGGUUUUAUGUAUUUUUCUUUUUAUAUUUUAUGAUUUGGGUUUAUUCGUCUUGCAGGUAUUGUGGGUGAACACAUAUGCAAUCGGUUUAUUUUUUAAUUGAGAAACAUUUAUGGUUUAUAUAUUUUAAGUAAAGUUAAAACAAGCAAAACACAAUGUAAAAUCAAUAUUACGUUCCAGAUGGUCCCCUAUUCCCAAUAUAGUACACUACUAAAUGGCCUGAUAUGGCUAUGGGUGAAAGUAGUUAACUAUAUAGGGGAUAGGGGGCCAUUUAGGAGACAGUCCAACUCUCAAUUUCUGUCAUCAGUUUAUUAUUGGAACGCUGAUCUAAAAUGUGAUUCUGGGUGAAAACCUUAAUCUCUAAUUCUAUGCCUUGGCUCUUAAUGUUGCACAUUUCUCUCAUGAAUGGAAUAUGUAACAAGCAAUACGGUUUAUAAUUAAAAAGUGCUUUUUUCAA